AUAUUAUGUGUUUAUUAACAGAAAAGGUAAAUUUACAUCGUUUCGCCGUCGUAGUUCCGUUGAAGCAGCCUCCGAUGAACAUCCUGAAGUGCCUUCGGUUUCCGUUAAUUGGGUCCUUUAAUUCGUGCAUUUACAUACUUCGUUUCACUUGCCCACUGCUUGACAAGCCUAUUGGAGAGAUCGGAGACAUCUCAGGCAACCACUGUAGCUGGAGCCUUGGUCACAACUAAGGAACCAAAGCUUGAACUCAAGUGUCAGACGUUUAAUAAAGUAAAUGUUAUUCAUCGGGUCUUCAUGUUGCUCUUGACCGCCUGAUCCGUGAUCAACUGCUUUCUCUUCCAGCGAGGUCUCCGAUUUCUCCAUCCUUGCUGCAGCUAUAUUUUGAUUUCUAUCGGCCCCCUUUCCGGUCAUGCUUCUGUUUUUCUUGAGUUGUGUUGUUUUUCGUUUCAUUCUGUGUAAUAAGUUUCAUACAACAAUGUGAAAAACUCAAAAACUUUAUAAAUAUUAACAUUUACCAAAAGAAAAGUAAAUGUUAUUCACAACAAUCAAACAUUAAAAAAUAACACUUAGAUUAGGAAAUUACAUCAAUAGAAUCUAUGCUCUCUUAGUCAUACUUAUCAUUUCCGCUGCAGUGAUCAAUGGCUUCAUACAAACAUAAGAUAUCUCAUAUGUUGAGAGUCAUCUAUAAUUUAAUAUAAUUACAAUUUAUAAGAGGGUUCUU